ACCCAGCAGAGCAGCAGCACAGUGCUUUGGGAACGAGUGAGCCCAGCAGUCUUUGAGUCUUGGCCCACAAAGGUCAUAUGGGAAGCUGAAACCCAUCUUGUCUUGCUUUCUGUGCAGGUGCUUCUAGAGAGAGAGCAGGAGCAGAUUGCUUCAACAGAGAUGCCAUGGCAGACUCAGGGAGAGCUGUUCCCAGCCCGAGAGCAGGAAGAGCAGCUCGGGCAGCAGGUGGAAGAGCCACAGGAGAAAGGCCAGAUCAUCAAGGCAGAGCCACAAGCAGAGCUGCCCGAAGCUCAGAGUGCCAUCAUGGAUGUGAAGAGAAAGAGCAAGGAAGACUUGAUAAGUAUUCAAGAGGAGAAUCUCCAGCAGCAGAGGGGCGAUCAACAAAUCCAGGUGAGUGAAAGAGUGGCAGGCACUCCACCCAUGAAACAUCCUCUCUCUUUUUUUUUAGAGAAGAUUAAGGCACAGCUGAACACAGAGCUUCAGACAGCUCAAACUCGGAUGAAGGCAAGGCUGAAGAGGCUGGAGGAUGAAAUAAAAAUCAUCAGAGAGAAACUUAAUCCCCUCCCUCAGGCUCUACAAAAGCAAGAGCGAGUUUUGACAUCUGACUGGACAGCCUGUGAAGAUUACCAGCGAAUGUCUGCCACUGAAGAGCCCCAGAUCUACACAAGCUCUUUCACCAAACCUGCUGCAGCAGCAGCAGCAUCGUCUAAAGGAGCCUUUUCUCCCCGGCCUGAGAAGUGGAGCCAGGGCAGUUUGUUCACCUCCCGCACUGACCCAGCUGCUGCUCAGCAACAGGAGGUCGAGGGUGACUCUCUGGAGCUACUGAGGAAAAUAGUAAACAAGGAAAAUCCCAGGAUGAAAUACACAAGACUGGACUAUAUUGGCAGUGGGUAAGUCCAACCGCAGUUACUUCUACAUAACCAUGGGCCAGGUUUUUUUGUGGUGGAAUGUCUAUCCACCAUGAAGUCAGGCAAGCUGCAAGCUGCAAA
rnacentral:lncRNA from 1 species